rnacentral:misc_RNA from 1 species
GAUGAAGAACGUAGCGAAAUGCGAUAAGUAAUGUGAAUUGCAGAAUUCCGUGAAUCAUCGAAUCUUUGAACGCACAUUGCGCCCCUUGGUAUUCCAUGGGGCAUGCCUGUUCGAGCGUCAUUUGUACCUUCAAGCUCUGCUUGGUGUUGGGUGUUUGUCUCGCCUCUGCGUGUAGACUCGCCUCAAAACAAUUGGCAGCCGGCGUAUUGAUUUCGGAGCGCCGUACAUCUCGCGCUUUGCACUCAUAACGACGACGUCCAAAAGUACAUUUUUACACUCUUGACCUCGGAUCAGGUAGGGAUACCCGCUGAACUUAAGCAUAUCAAUAAGCGGAGGA